AUUGAACGCUGGCGGCAGGCCUAACACAUGCAAGUCGAGCGAGCGGCGGAAGGGUGAGUCCUGUAUGGGGACUGCCCGAUAGAGGGGGAUAACUACUGGAAACGGUGGCUACUCCCGUAUACUGUCGGAUAACCCAUAUGGGAUUAGCUAGUAGGUAAGGUAAUGGCUUACCUAGGCGACGAUCCCUACCUGGUCGGAGAGGAUGAUCAGCCACACUGGGACUGAGACACGGCCCAGACUCCUACGGAGGCAGCAGUGGGGAAUAUUGGACAAUGGGCGCAAGCCUGAUGCAGCCAUGCCGCGUGUAUGAAGAAGGCCCUAGGGUUGUAAAGUACUUUCAGUCGGGAGGCGUUACCAACAGAAGAAGCACCGGCUAACUCCGUGCCAGCAGCCGCGGUAAUUC
rnacentral:rRNA from 1 species